rnacentral:rRNA from 1 species
UACGUAGGGUGCAAGCGUUGUCCGGAAUUAUUGGGCGUAAAGAGCUCGUAGGCGGUUUGUCGAGUCUGCUGUGAAAACUCGGGGCUUAACCCCGGGCCUGCAGUGGGUACGGGCAGACUAGAGUGCGGUAGGGGAGACUGGAAUUCCUGGUGUAGCGGUGAAAUGCGCAGAUAUCAGGAGGAACACCGGUGGCGAAGGCGGGUCUCUGGGCAACAACUGACGCUGAGGAGCGAAAGCGUGGGGAGCGAACAGG